rnacentral:rRNA from 1 species
GAUGAACGCUGGCGGCGUGCCUAAUACAUGCAAGUCGAGCGAACGGACGAGAAGCUUGCUUCUCUGAUGUUAGCGGCGGACGGGUGAGUAACACGUGGAUAACCUACCUAUAAGACUGGGAUAACUUCGGGAAACCGGAGCUAAUACCGGAUAAUAUUUUGAACCGCAUGGUUCAAAAGUGAAAGACGGUCUGGCUGUCACUUAUAGAGGGAUCCGCGCUGCAUUAGCUAGUUGGUAAGUUAACGGCUUACCAAGGCAACGAUGCAUAGCCGACCUGAGAGGGUGAUCGGCCACACUGGAACUGAGACACGGUCCAGACUCCUACGGGAGGCAGCAGUAGGGAAUCUUCCGCAAUGGGCGAAAGCCUGACGGAGCAACGCCGCGUGAGUGAUGAAGGUCUUCGGAUCGUAAAACUCUGUUAUUAGGGAAGAACAUAUGUGUAAGUAACUGUGCACAUCUUGACGGUACCUAAUCAGAAAGCCACGGCUAACUACGUG